rnacentral:rRNA from 1 species
AGUGAACGCUGGCGGUAGGCCUAACACAUGCAAGUCGAACGGCAGCACAGUAAGAGCUUGCUCUUACGGGUGGCGAGUGGCGGACGGGUGAGGAAUACAUCGGAAUCUACUUUUUCGUGGGGGAUAACGUAGGGAAACUUACGCUAAUACCGCAUACGACCUACGGGUGAAAGCAGGGGAUCUUCGGACCUUGCGCGAUUGAAUGAGCCGAUGUCGGAUUAGCUAGUUGGCGGGGUAAAGGCCCACCUAGGCGACGAUCCGUAGCUGGUCUGAGAGGAUGAUCAGCCACACUGGAACUGAGACACGGUCCAGACUCCUACGGGAGGCAGCAGUGGGGAAUAUUGGACAAUGGGCGCAAGCCUGAUACAGCCAUACCGCGUGGGUGAAGAAGGCCUUCGGGUUGUAAAGCCCUUUUGUUGGGAAAGAAAAGCAGCAGGUUAAUACCCCGCUGUUCUGACGGUACCCAAAGAAUAAGCACCGGCUAACUUCGUG